GGGCCCGCACAAGCGGUGGAGCAUGUGGUUUAAUUCGAUGAUACGCGAGGAACCUUACCAGGGCUUAAAUGUAGAUUGACAGAUUUGGAAACAGAUUUUUCUUCGGACAAUUUACAAGGUGCUGCAUGGUUGUCGUCAGCUCGUGCCGUGAGGUGUCAGGUUAAGUCCUAUAACGAGCGCAACCCCUACCGUUAGUUGCCAGCGAGUCAUGUCGGGGACUCUAGCGGAACUGCCGGCGUAAGCCGCGAGGAAGGUGGGGAUGACGUCAAAUCAUCACGGCCCUUACGUCCUGGGCUACACACGUGCUACAAUGGUACGGACAAUGAGCAGCCACAUGGUGACAUGGAGCUAAUCUUCAAACCGUAUCUCAGUUCGGAUCGAAGUCUGCAACUCGACUUCGUGAAGCUGGAAUCGCUAGUAAUCGG
rnacentral:rRNA from 1 species